GGGCCGUUAGCUCAAUGGUAGAGCAGAGGCCUUUUAAGCCUUUGGUUCAGGGUUCGAGCCCCUGACGGCUCA
rnacentral:tRNA from 1 species